UACGUAGGGGGCAAGCGUUGUCCGGAUUCAUUGGGCGUAAAGAGCGUGUAGGCGGCCAGGUAGGUCGGUUGUGAAAACUGGCGGCUCAACCUUCAGAGGUCGACCGAAACCAUCUGGCUAGAGUCCGGGAGAGGAGAGUGGAAUUCCUGGUGUAGCGGUGAAAUGCGCAGAUAUCAGGAAGAACACCCGUGGCGAAAGCGGCUCUCUGGAACGGUACUGACGCUGAGACGCGAAAGCGUGGGGAGCGAACAGG
rnacentral:rRNA from 1 species